rnacentral:lncRNA from 1 species
GCGCAAAUCUUCAAUAUCAAUAAAGUAUCAUGUGACGCGGAAAGUGUCCCGGAUGAGGUGUCGGAUAACACACGCGGUGUCGGAUAACACACGCGCGUAUGCAAUGGACGUUUUGAGAAUUGGAGAUCGUGAUUUAUAUUUAAAGAUGUCAUAGAGAAAACCAGAGAGAAUGUGAUUGCUUUAAACAAAUGUCUAUAGGAGUGAUUCCAGAACAAUAGCGUAUGCAUGUUAACUGUGAGGAAUAAGCCUGAAAUUAAAGUGAAAUUGAUGAUUUACCCAAUUUACCUUAUGGAGGCAAAACGCAUUCGGAAAAAAUAUUAUAUCAAUUAAACUUACUUGGAUGCAUUAUUUUCAAGUUAUACUACAACGGAGAUCUAUGAACAUACUGAUAUGCCGAGACUGGGAAUAAGACACCAGGGUUGGGGGAUCCCCCCUUUUUUUCGGUUGUAUCUAAAUAUUUAUUAUAUACAUUUUUUUUUCUAAAACAAAUCUUAUCGAAAACACAAUGCUACUUUUGGGGACAGGUUACACGUACCUACCAUUUUCUCUAAUUUCCUAUGAAUAAAAAAU